GACGAACGCUGGCGGCGUGCCUAAUACAUGCAAGUCGAACGCAGUGGGGACGGGUGAGUAACACGUGGGUAACCUCCCAUCAGAGGGGAUAACACUUGGAAACAGGUGCUAAACCGAUACUGAUGGAUGGACCCGCGGUGCAUUCGCUAGUUGGUGAGGUAACGGCGCACCACGGCCACGAUGCAUAGCCGACCGGAGAGGGUUAGCGGCCACACUGGGACUGAGAGACGGCCCAGCCUCCUACGGUGGGAAGCAGUAGGGAAUCUUCGGCAAUGGACGAAAGUCUGACCGAGCAACGCCGCGGGAGUGAAGAAGGUUUUCGGAUCGUAAAACUCUGUGGUUAGAGAAGCGGUAUCUAACCAGAAAGCCACGGCUAACUACGUGCCAGCAGCCGCGGUAAUUC
rnacentral:rRNA from 1 species